UGUUGGGUAUGGCCCCAAAACUAUGAAAUGCAGGACGCAGCUAGCCAUCCUGCAUUUCAAUGAAAACUCCAACAGGGCCCAUGCUUUCACAGAAGAUGGAGAACUGCGCUACCUAAUGAAGCGAUCGAAGGUGUACUCUGGAGAGUAUGUUGCGCUGCCCAUCAAGGAGGAGCCUACCUUCAAUUAUGCUCGCAAGCUUCUGGACAAGGUGGUAGAGCUCUGCCAUAAAUGGCCUACAUUUGAUGACGCAUGGGCUGCAAACCCUCCCGAUGAACUGCCUAGUCUAACGAAGAACGAGCCCC